rnacentral:rRNA from 1 species
GACGAACGCUGGCGGCGUGCUUAACACAUGCAAGUCGAACGAAGUGGCGAACGGGUGAGUAACGCGUAAUCAACCUGCCCUUCAGAGGGGGACAACAGUUGGAAACGACUGCUAAUACCGCAUACUGAAGGAGGGGAUUGCGUCUGAUUAGCUAGUUGGGGGGGUAACGGCCCACCAAGGCGAUGAUCAGUAGCCGGUCUGAGAGUAUUAACGGCAACAUUUGGACUUAGACACGGCCCAGACUCCUACGGGAGGCAGCAGGGGGGAAUCUUCCGCAAUGGACGAAAGUCUGACGGAGCAACGCCGCGUGAGUGAUGACGGCCUUCGGGUUGUAAAGCUCUGUUAAUCGGGACGCGGUACCGGAAUAGAGAGCCGCGGCUAACUACGUGCCAGCCGCCGCGGUAAUUC